UUACAAGCAGAUGGUCCAUUUCGUUUGUCUUCCAGUACUGUUAAUGUUUGGGUCCACAUAGUAUUAAGUCAAUAGAAACGUUUUCAAAAUUUCAUAUCAGUUAUCCAAAGCAACUUCAUAGCUUGUUCAACUUGUUACGAUCAAACAGUAUUCCAAAAAAACACAAGUCCGAUGAAUAAGCCAAGUUCUCGUUCACGAUUCGCAUAACAGUCGACCUCUUCGUUUCUACCCAACACCGAAUGUAAUUAGUGGCAGAUUUCUAUGUUAUCAGUUAACCCAGUUGCUCUGAAGAAGUUGAUAACAGGUAAUGGAGAAUCAGGGUAGGAUUCCGGAUAAGGGGCCCAAGAAACGGCGAUCACUUCGAAGGAAGGCAGAAUGCGCGCAAAUUACCCAAUCCGAUACGCAGAAUUAGUGACGAUAAAACGGAUACGGCACUCAAUAGAUGCUCUGUAAUACGAAUGAGUAAAAUUCAAGUCCUUUAACAAGGAUCAACUGGUUCUCAGUUAAUAUCCAGA
rfam:Opisthorchis viverrini opera_v5_421.5, whole genome shotgun sequence.